rnacentral:rRNA from 1 species
CCUACGGGACGCAGCAGUGAGGAAUAUUGGUCAAUGGACGAGAGUCUGAACCAGCCAAGUAGCGUGAAGGAUGACUGCCCUAUGGGUUGUAAACUUCUUUUAUAAAGGAAUAAAACGAGGCACGUGUGCCUUUUUGCAUGUACUUUAUGAAUAAGGAUCGGCUAACUCCGUGCCAGCAGCCGCGGUAAUACGGAGGAUCCGAGCGUUAUCCGGAUUUAGUGGGUUUAAAGGGAGCGUAGAUGGGUUGUUAAGUCAGUUGUGAAAGUUUGCGGCUCAACCGUAAAAUUGCAAUUGAUACUGGCAGUCUUGAGUACAGUUGAGGUAGGCGGAAUUCGUGGUGUAGCGGUGAAAUGCUUAGAUAUCACGAAGAACCCCGAUUGCGAAGGCAGCUUACUAAACUGUGACUGACAUUGAUGCUCGAAAGUGUGGGUAUCAAACAGGAUUAGAUACCCUUGUAGUC